CAGUAGCCGCGGUAAUACGAAGGGGGCUAGCGUUGUUCGGAUUUACUGGGCGUAAAGCGCACGUAAGCGGACUUUUAAGUCAGGGGUGAAAUCCCGGGGCUCAACCCCGGAACUGCCUUUGAUACUGGGAGUCUUGAGUUCGAGAGAGGUGAGUGGAAUUGCGAGUGUAGAGGUGAAAUUCGUAGAUAUUCGCAGGAACACCAGUGGCGAAGGCGGCUCACUGGCUCGAUACUGACGCUGAGGUGCGAAAGCGUGGGGAGCAAACAGGAUUAGAUACCCCAGUAGUCCCUGUCUCUUAUAC
rnacentral:rRNA from 1 species